ACGGCAGAAUUAAUCGACUAUACAAUCUGUACAUACCUGUAAAAGAAUCAACAAACAUAAAAUGUAUAACAAUGGAAAUAUACUAGCGGUUCAGCUGCUGAUUAAUAUCGGAUAGCAGCGAGCGAAAUCAAUUCGUCAAUUUUACCUGAAAAACAACACUUGACUUAAUCGAUAAUCAGAAUUUGUCUACUAGCAUAAAGCUUGAGCAAUCGCUUAAAAAUUAUUAACCGCUAAGCAAUAACGUUGUGUUGUGUUGUGGAUACUGCACUAAAUAGGCGAUUUUUGGUGUUAUUUCACCGUCACCUUCAGUCAUUGUGAACCGCCAACAACAUCAUAAAAAUAAAACGACUCAUUAGUCUUCAACAUAAAUUUCAUAUACAGCAACCAUUACACACAACAGUCUUAAACGUUGCAUUUACAGCUAUCCAUAGUGGACGGUAAAGUAAGUGAGUACAGUUGACACGGUACGCAACGGUCGCGCGUACAAAGUACAGGCACACCGUUAUCACCACCACCACGGACAAAGACGCAAUAUAGUCAACUCCCCUACCAACGCCAUAAAGGCCAAGAAGGGACGAGAAGAUAAGUCGCGCCGGACGAGCUUCGAUCGCACGUCUAACAACAUGAGAUGUUCCGAAUGUUGUCCAGAGAACUCUACUACGGCUCCACAAGGACUUAACUUCGUUGGAAUCACCGAAUCUACGUCCAACCACUAAAGGUUAGAACGUCGCCGAAGGUUGCCGAAUCUGUCCUACCGACCUGUUUGUGUGGCUCCACACAAGUGCGAGUAUUCACAAUCAUACGACCAGCUUUCCGCGGAUCAAAACCACGAUAACCGCCGAAGUCGCGUCACAGUGCAGUUUAUCAAUACCAAGACUUCCGAUAAGCUAUGAUCGUUAAAUCAAACAGUUUCAGUGUUAUCUUUCACUGUGUUCAACAAACUACAGACAACACUCGACCACAACCAUCUACUAUGGAUCAUUAACAAAAACGAAUUUUUUGACUUGAAUGAAGCAUUAAAAAUCAAAAUUUUCGCCCAGGCGAUGGCGUUAAACUCACCAUUGCUCGCCGUCCAUAAGAAUACAUUCGACACCUGUAACUGAGAAAAAUGUUUUUUGAAAUCUGAACCAAAAAAUAAUAAAUGAAAAAUCAUGGACGGCGAGUGAAGAGUGUAAUAUUAUCAAGCCUGGGCAAGUUUAUGAUAAUUUUUAACGUACAUAAUUUGGGUAUGAUUAAAAGCAACUCGUUAUUUAUUAAGUUAAUACCAAUAAAAAUCAAAUAAGUUAAAAAUUAAGUCAUUGAAAAUUAAUUUAAAAAAAGUUAAGUUUAACUUAACUUUAACUUUUUAACUCGUUUAUGCCCAGGCUUAAAUAUUAUUACACCGAUAAUGGAUUGAUAUUGGAUAUGGACAGUGGUUUUAUAUGAGUAUAAUAUAUCCACUUUGAAUGAUCGUCCUACUUAAUAAUUAUGUGACCAGUAUUAACCAUUAAUUAGAAUUAAAGAACAAACACUAAGUCAUAAUGAAUUUUGCUACAAUUAAAUCCAAAAUUCAUUUAGACUUUAAUUCUAAAAUAAUGUUUCUUCUAUAACAUUUAACCUACCUCUAACAUUAUAUUAUUUUUAGUUAACAAUGGUUGAUAAUAAGUGUUAUAUAGGUAACUAAUGGUACAAGAAAAAUAACAGAAAAAUCAUGGAAACCGUAAAAUAAGUAUAUUAAUUAGAAAUAUGCAUAGUAAAUAUAAAUGAAUGCGCCUCACUAAGAACUAUGUCUCAACAAUUAUUGAGCACAACAUUUAGUACGCUACAUAAUAGUUAUACUGUACGCAAGUAUCACCACCGUUCAGUUAUUAGUGCUUAAUUAUUAUUGCCUGCGCUCAAGUGCUGUAAAUCAUAAUAAGAACAUAAUCUGCACAGUGAAGCUGUUAAACUAGACAUUUUUACGUUGGAAAAAAAUUAAUAACAAUAAGAAUACGGAAAUGACAAAGUACCUUCAUUCAUGAUUCAAACCUAAAUAGCAGAACAUCAGCUAUACCUAAUGGCAAACCAAAAUAAACAUUAUUAAGUUGACCAUUUUUGUUAACAAAUGGUAUGAUUACUUGUAGAAGGCGCUAAAAAAUCACAUUUUUGCGCCGACAAUGACUUUAAAUCAUCACUCACUCGUCGUUCAUACUAAUACAUCCAGUAGUCGAAAAACAUUUUUGACAGAUUUCUGGAAUUAGAAAAACAAAUGAAUAAACAUGGAAGACAAAUAAUUAGUGAAAUUCUUGUACUUUUAUUGUUUAUAAUAACAAAUGUAUACACACUAUUAAGGAUAUAAUAUGAUACAUCAAAGAUUAUUAGUUAAUUAAAUAAUGAACGAGUGGAUUUUAACUUCAAGAAAAUGCGAAAUUCUUCAGAACUUUAAUUUUGAAAUUAUAUCUUCCUAAAGGAGAACAGCUAACAUAACACAGGAUAUUAAAAUACAUUACAAAAUCUCUUAAAUGCAAACAUCAUCAGCCUUUCAAAACAUGAAUUUCAAGAUCAAUAGGCAUAAACAUAAUUAUUAUUCAGCUAGUAACAUGUAAAUGAGAAUUACGAGUUUGAGACCAACAUUUAACCAUCCGUCGGCAAGCCAAUCAUAACCAGUAAAAUUACGCUAUAUACACUUAUAACUUCACCAUUAUGAUUAUUAUUAUGAUUAUUACUAUUAUAAUUAUUACUAUUAUGAUUAUUAC